rnacentral:rRNA from 1 species
UACGGGGGGAGCAAGCGUUGUUCGGAUUUACUGGGCGUAAAGGGCGCGUAGGCGGUCAGCACAAGUCAGUUGUGAAAUCUCCGGGCUUAACUCGGAAAGGUCAACUGAUACUGUGCGACUAGAGUGCAGAAGGGGCAACUGGAAUUCUCGGUGUAGCGGUGAAAUGCGUAGAUAUCGAGAGGAACACCUGCGGCGAAGGCGGGUUGCUGGGCUGACACUGACGCUGAGAGACGAAAGCUAGGGGAGCAAAUGGG